UCGAGGGGGCUUGCCCCCGUCAAGAUACCACCCUUUGCCUUUGAGUACCUUCUGUUUCCUCGGCAGGCUCGCCUGCCAAUGGGGACCACAACCAAACCUUUUUGUAUCUGUAGUAAACGUUUUACAAAAUAAAAAAUCAAAACUUUCAACAACGGAUCUCUUGGUUCUGGCAUCGAUGAAGAACGCAGCGAAAUGCGAUAAGUAGUGUGAAUUGCAGAAUUCAGUGAAUCAUCGAAUCUUUGAACGCACAUUGCGCCCUUUGGUAUUCCUUAGGGCAUGCCUGUUCGAGCGUCAUCUAACCCUUCAAGCACUGCUUGGUGUUGGGCGUUUGUCCCGCCUUGGGCGCGGACUCGCCUCAAAGACAUUGGCGGCCUGUGUAUUGGCUUCGAGCGCAGCAG
rnacentral:misc_RNA from 1 species